GAUGAACGCUGGCGGCGUGCCUAAUACAUGCAAGUCGAGCGAACAGACGAGGAGCUUGCUCCUCUGACGUUAGCGGCGGACGGGUGAGUAACACGUGGAUAACCUACCUAUAAGACUGGGAUAACUUCGGGAAACCGGAGCUAAUACCGGAUAAUAUAUUGAACCGCAUGGUUCAAUAGUGAAAGACGGUUUUGCUGUCACUUAUAGAUGGAUCCGCGCCGCAUUAGCUAGUUGGUAAGGUAACGGCUUACCAAGGCAACGAUGCGUAGCCGACCUGAGAGGGUGAUCCGCCACACUGGAACUGAGACACGGUCCAGACUCCUACGGGAGGCAGCAGUAGGGAAUCUUCCGCAAUGGGCGAAAGCCUGACGGAGCAACGCCGCGUGGGUGAUGAAGGUCUUCGGAUCGUAAAACUCUGUUAUUAGGGAAGAACAAAUGUGUAAGUAACUAUGCACGUCUUGACGGUACCUAAACAGAAAGCCACGGCUAACUACGUG
rnacentral:rRNA from 1 species